AAAUCUCUGAGAUUAUUUUCAUCAUAAGCUUCCUCGUGCUCCUCAAUGAUUUUCCGAAGAUGAUCCUCCAAACUAGUUGCAUUGGAAAUUGCUUCCUUUAUCCGAAAUGGAUCGCCAGGAAUGUAUUUGAAGAAAGGGUAUCAUGUCCGCUGACGACAACAAGGAUCCUCGAACCAGUGAUUAGACUGAAAACGUCUCCGUACUUCUGCCUAUACUCCAUGAACGUCUCCAACAACGUGCCCGGACUCACACUUAGAAGAUUCCCAAUGAAUGGGACUGUGGGAGGUCCCGGGGGAAGGGUAGCAUUUCUCGUGGUCUUCCGCCACCGUGUGAAUAAAAGUACUACUAGACAUGCUAGGAAAACAGUCCAGAAAACAUACAUUGUGUUAUUUUAAUGGAAGCUUUCAGGUUUUAAAUCGACAUUCCUUUUAAGUUACCUUUUGCUAUUCAUAAACGAAAUGCCGUAUACUCCUCUACUAACGUUAUUGUUAUUCAAAUUUACACCACGUGGGUUUUUUGACCCAUUAAAAGGUUAGAGGUGAGGUCAAAUUCCGCAGUGAAGGAAACUGGAAAUAAAUGUGCCAAAUAUAUAGUCAUUUUCUAUAUACUGUAAUAGACAUGUAUCAUCAUUACGUAGAAAAUUCAAUUCAGUACUGUCAUACCGGCGAUGAUUGUGAAAUAGUGAAAAGCUCAGGAAGUUAAAGUCAUUUAAAGAUCUAGAUUGUAGUUUAACUGAUAUUUAGUCUUAAUGUCGUGUCAGGAGGGGGAGGGUCUUCUUUUUUUUGGGGGGGGGGACGGUAAUAAUUCCAUUGUUUAUAACAUAUGCAAAUAAAGAAAUUGGAGUGAC